GGGUUGUGAGGUUAAGCGACUAAGCGUACACGGUGGAUGCCCUGGCAGUCAGAGGCGAUGAAGGACGUGCUAAUCUGCGAUAAGCGUCGGUAAGGUGAUAUGAACCGUUAUAACCGGCGAUUUCCGAAUGGGGAAACCCAGUGUGAUUCGUCACACUAUCAUUAACUGAAUCCAUAGGUUAAUGAGGCGAACCGGGGGAACUGAAACAUCUAAGUACCCCGAGGAAAAGAAAUCAACCGAGAUUCCCCCAGUAGCGGCGAGCGAACGGGGAGCAGCCCAGAGCCUGAAUCAGUGUGUGUGUUAGUGGAAGCGUCUGGAAAGGCGCGCGAUACAGGGUGACAGCCCCGUACACAAAAAUGCACAUACUGUGAGCUCGAUGAGUAGGGCGGGACACGUGGUAUCCUGUCUGAAUAUGGGGGGACCAUCCUCCAAGGCUAAAUACUCCUGACUGACCGAUAGUGAACCAGUACC
rnacentral:rRNA from 1 species